rnacentral:lncRNA from 1 species
AUUCUCUGGGUUAUAUGUGCUUUCUAAAACAGCGCACACAUAGCUGUCAAAACUAAACUAUGCAAAGGAAAGGUCAGACUUCGACAGAUAAUUCCUGUUGCCGUGGAAACAAAGUCGGUUUUGGAAAAAGCUGCAAGUUCCUCUAAAUAACCACAGAUUCAAAAACUUCAUGGUCUUCCUUUGACAGGUGUAGUGAUGAGGUGAACUUUGAGACUAUCCUUGGACCGCAAUUUAAGCUUGAGACAAAGGAAACUGAUUGUGUUAUCUCUUUGUAACCCAAACACCUGUAAAUCUACUUCACCAAGCUUUGACAGCAUCUGAACACUUAUUGAUCUUAAAAUGGUACAAAAACCUUUACUUGUUUGCCAGUCAACAAAGAAACCACUGACUGAGCACUCUGAAGGAGAGUUAAAGGUUUUAAGAGAAUGAAGAAAAUUUCAAACGUUCACUAAGGAGAACGGGCAAAAGAGUUGACUAAGAAAAUAGAAAAGGAUACCAAGAAAUCAUUGAAGAAGAGAUUAAAGUUAGAGGACAUUAUUUUGUAUUUGUAUAAAUGUGCAUGUUUCCUCAAUUUUUCUCCAGCACAUACAUUACUCUGGGCAUGAGCACAGAAAGCAAGACAAUUGCCAGGAGAAUGUAAUGAAAAAUGAGUUGAAACACUGAAAAAGAUAAAGUACAUCAGUGGAAUAUGAACAGAUUAGGAAAUAAAAUAAAGAAGAUGAGUGGGCUGUGGAAAUAAAAGGAAUCACAAAACUGGAGGCUUAAUGAAGUUAAAGAACAUGUGGACUAGGAAAACCAAGAUGGUUGAAAAGACAGCAGAUUGUGAACACACAAAAAAUUCUGAGCUUAAAUUGUCAGCAGCAGUAAAGCAAUAUCAAGUAAUGAGAAUUCCAGCUGUGAGGCUGUAUGAGUGAUUUGCUGGAGAGGCACAGAAUUAUAGGUCAAUGGAGAUAAAGUCAUCCAUAAACUACAAACAAGGGAGUUGAAGGAGCCAUCCAGGGACAUUUAGAAAUGUGGUUUAGUCAAAUGGCAUGAAACUUUCAGAAAUAAAGGUAUGAAUACAUUAUGUUAAAUGUCAUAAAAACACCACUGUUAUGGUAUGAAACAACUUCACAAUUUCUAAAGGCUUAUUUUUCAUGCUUUAUACUUGAUGACUUGAUAUUAGCUUGUGGUUAAUAAUUUGUAACAAAUAUAACAUGAAUAAAGAUGCAACAUAAGCUAGGUAAGUUCUAUAAACUGAAUAGAACAUGGAAAAUUAGUACACACAGUGCUAUGGGGUGAUGACAAACUGAAAGCAAGUGUAUUGUUUUUGUUUUGUUUUGUAUUGUUUUGUUUUGUUUUGUGACGGAGUCUCUCUCUGUUGCCCAGGCUGGAGUGCAGUGGCACCAUCUCCGCUCACUGCAAGCUGCGCCUCAUGGGUUCACGCCAUUCUCCUGCCUCAGCCUGCCGAGUAGCUGGGACUACAGGCACCCGCCACUACGCCUGGCUAAUUUUUUUGUAUUUUUAGUAGAGACAGGGUUUCACCGUGUUAGCCAGGAUGGUCUCCAUGUCCUGACCUCGUGAUCCGCCCGCCUCGGCCUCCCAAAGUGCUGGGAUUACAGGCGUGAGCCACCGUGCCUGGCGAAAUCAAGUUUUAUAAUGAUGUUUUCCAUUUGUAUAAUAAAUAUUUCCGAGUAUUAACAUUUUAUCUUUCAUACUUUUUCAAAUGUAGUUCUUUUAAUACUCCAAUUAAGAUUUUCUUAUUACCUGAGGAAAGAAGUGAUUAUUAGCAUGGCAAAAAACAAGGAAUAGAGUAUGUUUUGAAAACUGUCAUGUUGAAGAUUUAUUUCUAUGUGCGUUAUUCUUCUGUAAACAUGUAAACAGAUAGUGAUUAAAAGUAAUAUAACUAUAAUAAUAAUAAUUUUACUUUAAUAAAAAUGCCAUACAAGACUCUAGUUUUUUAAGAGCUUGAUUACAUAAAACAUUUCAUAGUUGCUUAUGUUGAGGAUAUUAUUUCUAAAAACAAAGAAUGAAUCAUAUUGUAUAUAAACAAAAUGUAUUGAAAGUUGUUAUGCUAUGAAAAAGGAACUUAAGUAAUUAUCUGAAAUUCUAAUGUAAAUUCUUUAUAAAAACCUGCAGGCAUGAACACUGAUGCUGAAGACAUAGGAAGCCUUUUUCCCCUGAUCUGAAAUCACUUUUAGUAGAAUCAAAUGAUCUGGGAAUGGUGGUUCCAAAAUUUUGUUGCUAUCACUAGUUUAACUUGGCCUUUAUUUUUAUUAUUACUUCUACCACAAGAUGGGUGUUUAUGAAUGUGAGUGGUAUAAAUGGACAAAAACCUGAGGUAGCUUUCUUACUACCUCCCUACUUCUAGUUUUGCCUGUCUUCAUUUAUUCAGAUGACUUACAUUCAUUGCAACUUGUUAACUUAUGUAUUCACUGAUUCAUUCAUUUAUCAUUGCUUGUGUACCUGUAAAGAGUGUCAGCUAUAUUCUAAAUCUGUACUGUCCAAUACAGUAGCCAUACAUAGCUAUUUAAAUUAAUCUCAAACUAACCAAAACUAAAAAUUCAGUUCUGCAGACAUUCUAGCUACAUUUCAAGAGCCCAAAAACUCCAUAUGGCUGGGGGGUAGUUUAUUGGCCAGCACAGAUAUAGAACAUUUCUCUUAUCAUAAAACAUUCCAUUGGACAGUCCUAUUCUCAAGCAGAGGAAUGUAGAGAUACAAGUUGAAAUCUCUGCUGUGAAAGCUCAUGGAUCAUCAGAAAAAAAAAUUAAGAUAGAAGCAUCUUCAAGGAACUUUCGGUUAACAAAGAAUAAACAUCUAAAUGAAUCUGAAGAGAACAUGAAAUGAACAAAAUGAUGCCUGACAUGGAUUUAGUCAGGUGCUCAGGGAAAAGCAAGCAAAGGGAAUAUCAUUUGCAAUGCUCAUGCACCAAACAUAACAACGACAACAAAAAAACUAUAAUUUCAAGGACAUACAAAUAGUUUGAAAUGGCUAGAAUGUGGAGUGAUAUUCGAUGAGGUUUUCCAACAAGUCUCAUGUUUGGUUUAGUUUGGUUUCAUCUACAAAAUAGGAAUAAUAAUAGUACCUAACUCUUGAGGUUGAUGCUAUAAUUAACUAAUUUUAAUAUAUGAAGCACUUAUAACAGCUCUUGGUACUGGCAAGUAUUUAUAAGUAUUAACAAUUAUUAUUAUCAUUGUUAUAUAAUGUAUAUUAUUUUUAAAAGAUUGGAAGUAUGAUCAGUGACUUCAGAGUAAGAAACAGAGGCACACUCCUCAUCAGAACACCAUAGCCAGUGAUAUUCAGGAAAAGAAUUAAACUAAAAACCUCCUGAUCCUUCUGUUUCUUAUGGAGGGAGUGUGAAUGGUGGGAAAAGGAUGUCACUGCUUCUAGAUAUGCUGGUGGGGGAAAAGUCACAAACAAAUAGGAGAAAUAAAAAUUAGCUUAGAGUACAUAGAGCCAGAAUAUUUCCUGACUAUUGCAUGUGGGUGUGUGCUUUUAACUUACAAUUAUUUUCCUUUUUUUAACUUUACUUGAUAAGAAAAAAACAUAUCAGAAGUAUGAAGCUAAAAUAAAACUGUGUUUUCACUAUUUCUUUUUGUUUCUCUUUUUCCUGGUUCAAAAGAAUCAAGAUUAAAAACUGCCGAGAAUAUCCUAACACAGACUGUUCUUAUAAGAAUUUCAGUCGACGUUUGGAAACUUGAAAGGUUUGGGUGGUUUGGCUAAAGGUCAACCAAGAAUCAAACAUUUUAACUGCUUAUUCAGACUGAACUUUUCAACCAUCUCAUGUUGUUCUUUUUACUACUAUACAGUAAUGAUAAAAACCACUGUUUUUUUCUUAAUUUACUAAGGCAAAUAUUUGCAAAUACUAUACAAAUAGCAGCAUUUAAAUUUGUAACUAAUUUAUUUUUCUUGCAUUAAGCUAUGAGAGCAAUGUAAUCAUAAAAUCAUUCAUUAUUAAAGUGACCAGUUUAAUACUUCAAGCUAUUUUACUCAGUAAUAAAAGAGCUUCAAUAACAAAUGAAAUGUUCUUCUUUCCUGAAGGAGCAUAAAUUAUAAAAGUUUGUGAAUUUGAUUAAUUUUUUGGUAGUUUCCAUGAAGUAGUUGGUUAUAUUUGUGAUUGAUUGAAUAUAGGAGGGUUCUGAUUUUACAUGCAAGCUGAUUUUAAGGGGUAAGAAAGCUUUGAAUUUUUCUUUGACCCAAAUCAUUGGCAAUAAUUUUAUGCAUCACACUAUUACUCUUAUCAAUUAGGUUGAGAUUAUCUUUAUUAAUUGUCUCAGUCACAAUGCCCCAAGCCACAACUAGAAUUUAUAAAUCAGAACUGCAGGAGAGGAAACCUGGUCCUCAGAAUUUCUUUAAACUCUCACAAGUAAAACUGAUGAUCACCCUCUUAGAGCAGUAAUUUUCAGUAUCAACAGACUACCUUCUUUAUUUCUGGAUGGUAAAUAUAAAAGCCAUUCAUUUUGAUAAAAGGAUAAGAUCAAAUUUAAAACAAAAGUAUUUAUAUAUUACAUAAUUAUAAUGCAAUUUAUAUAAUAAAGUAAUAUGGAUUUCAAAAUAUAAAUCUUAGGCAGUACUACAGGAAAAUACAAAUUACAUUAAUCAAAUAUGUGUACUUACAAAGCAGUGACCUCCUUUUCCUAUCACUCACACUAUCCCCUCAAAAAAAAGAAGGGUCAGGAGGUUUUUAAAUUGCUUUCCUGAAUAUCACUGGGUAUGGUGUUCUGAUGAGGCAUGUGCCUCUGCUCCUCACUCUGUAGUAAGUGGUUGAUCAUACUUCCAAUCUUCUAAAAAUAAUAGUAGAAAUAUAAUAAUGCUAAUAAUUGUUAAUAUUUAUAAACACUUGAUAGUGCCAGGAGCUGUUCUAAGUACUUCACAUAUUAAUAAUUAAUUAAAUUUUAACAUGAAGAGUAAGAGUUAGGUACUCUUAUUCCUAUUUUGUAGAUUAAACCAAACCAAACCAAACAUGAAACCUGUUUAGAAAACUUCAUCGAAUUAUCACUCCACAUUCUAGCCAUUUCAAACUAUUUGUAUGCCCUGAAAGUAUUAUGCUUUUUUUCUGUUUUGUCCGUGAGCAUUGCAAACAAUAUUCCCUGUACCUGCGUAAGAGAGGGAAAAUGUCUUCUGUGUACCCUUCUAUGUUCUUUGGCCUAUGAAUUAAAUUGACAUAAGACAGAUUAACAGGAGAAAAUUAUUUUAAUUACAUGCGUUUGCACUGGAGUCCCACAAAACAUGAGAUUCAAAGAAGGGUCAGAUGAUUGAAGCUUAUAUGGCAUCCUGAGCUACAGAAAGGAAUUCCAUUCCCAUAUAUGUCAAAGAUGUCUCUGCCUGAGAGCUUUUUCUCAACUCACACGCUGUGUAAGGCUAGAAGUGACCACGAUUAAACCCUUAGUUGUUGCCACUCAUUCAUUUAUAGAAAUGAAUUGAAGGAUAAGUGUCUCAGGUUUUUUGAAAUUUGGAUUAGAAAACUUGGCCAUCUACCAGGGGUUUUCCUUAAGACUGAACCUUAGUGCCUCAGGGAUAACCUGGCUAGUUAAAGCACCUUUUAUUAAUUUUGUUUCCUCUCCUAUCUUACUUCCCACUUCUUUACUGAUUUUUCGUGCAGUUAAUUUGCAAUCAAAUCCUUUUCUUUUCUUUUUUCUUUUUUUUUUUUUUAAGAUGAAGUCUCACUCUGUCGCCAGGCUGGAGUGUAGUAGCACGAUUUCGGCUCGCUGCAACCUCCAACUCCCUGGUUUAAGUGAUUCUCCUGUCUCAGCCUCCCUAGUAGCUGGGAUUACAGGCAUGCACCGCCAUGCCCAGCUAAUUUUUGCAUUUUUAGUAGAGACGGGGUUUCACCAUGUUGGCCAGGAUAGUCUCAAUCUCCUGACCUCGUGAUCCACCCGCCUCAGCCUCCCAGAGUGCUGGGUUACAGGCGUGAGCCACCACACCCGGCCCAAAUCCUUUUCUUGAAGUAUGCCUCUAGGGAACUCAGCUAAAGAGUGUUGGUGAAGGAUGAGAUUCUGGAGUUAGAUCACUUGCUGUGCAAAUGUCAACAAGGCCCUCCUUGCUGUUAGUAACUGGGUUAAUAAUUAUCCACAGCAUCCUAUACAAUGCAACUACUCAUAUGGAUUAGAUUAGAAAACCCAGAAGACUUGUAGAAUUUAGCACUGGUUUAUGUAAUAGCUCUAGUGCUUAAAAGAAUGCUAAUUAUGCAUAUUGUGAUAUUGUUUGGUGAUUGUUAACACCAUAGAAGCCCCAAAGAAGGAAAGUAACAAACAUAGAAUAGCAAACAAAAUGACUUAUAGUGUGACUUUCAGAAAGUGUCCUUGGUGGCACUUUAGGAGACCCUUAUCAAUUCUGGCUAGAGACAGGAGUGUGUUGAAAACUACAAUCUUAAUUGUAACAAGCGCACACCACAAAGGAAGCUUAAUUUACAGCCAUAGCAGGGCUUCUCCUGUGUUAAAGCCAAAGCUGUGUUAACAAAUAAAUGAGACCCUUAGGCCAGAAUAUUUGGGUAGAGAUGCAUGCGAGAGGUGUUUAAACCUCUAGGUAGCCCUAAACAGUCUAAGCAGGAUGGGAAGAUUUCACUCUCCUUGCUGGAGAAACACAGCCUCAUACUAUUAUGAGAAGGACUCACCUGAAGUUAAGGCCCUGCCAAAUGAUUCUUGGCCUCCUUUAAGGUGUCUCCACCACUGCUCACAGCUUCUAGCCCAAUAAGGAAAUUCAAGUCUCACCACAGCUCAGGUAAAGUAUAGUUCCUGCUAUGGGAGGGAAAUUAUACACUAAAAGAAUUCUAGGUCCUGGCUAAUAUGUACCAGCAGAAAUCUGUAGAACAUGCUAGGCAAUUGAUCUUGAGGAUGUGGGACCAGAAAAGAUGAAGUAAAGGCCGGUAGAAAAUUGCUGACAUAGGGCCACUCACUCAUCAUUUAGAAUUGAAUAAUGCCUUAAGAAUGCUGGAGAUAGGUCUAAUAUGUUUCAAUAAUUAUUCCUUGAAGCUUGGAAACACCAAGUAAAUGAGGUAGAUAUGUCAGAACUGCUCCAGCAAUUAAGAAAGCAGACAGAAGUAUCAGAAAAGUGAGCAUGUACAAACAGAUUUAUUCUACAAGACCAGAAAAAUCACCAGCGGACAAUGUUUGAGGGUCCUGCAGCUGGACACCCGGGAAGGAGCUGGUUUUGGUCUGGUUUGAGCAUCAUGGAGCUGGACACCCAGGGAAGGGCUGUGUUUUUCUGGUUUGAGGGUCAUGGGGCUGGACAACCAGGGAGGAGCUGGUGUUUUUUUGGUUUAGGGGUCAUGGAGCUGGAGAUACGGUGCGGGGGUGGGGGCAGUGUUGUUCUAGUUUGAGGGUGGAGGAGCUGGAAAUCCAGGGGUAGGAGUGAUUUUCUAGUUUGAGGUCGUUUGAGGGUCAGCUGCACAACCCUCAACCUGGAGGGACACCAGCUCCCCCCUGGGUCUCCAGCUCCACAAACUUCUCACUGGAGAAACACUAGCUCCUCCCCGGAUCUCCAGCUCCAUGGCCCUCAGACUAGAGCCGCAUCAGCUCCUCCUCAGGUCUCCAGCUCUACAACCCUCAAGCUGGAACAGUGUCAGCUCCUCUCCAGGUCUGCAGAUCCACGACCUUCAAAUGAAAACAACAUCAGCUCCUCCUUGGAUCUCCAGCUCCAUGACCCUCAGACUUAAACAAGAGCAGCACCAGCUUCUCCCUGGGUCUCCAGCUCUAUGACCUUCAGACUUAAACAAGAGCAGCACCAGCUUCUCCCUGGGUCUCCAGCUCCAUGACCCUUGAAGUAGGAAAACAUCAGCUCCUCCUUGUAUCUCCAGCUCCAUGACCCUCUGAUCAGAAAAACAUCAGCUCCUCCCCAGGUCUCCAGUUCCACGACCCUCGAACUAGGAAAACAUCAGCUCCUCCCUGUGUCUCCAGCACCAAGACCCUCUGAUCAGAAAAACAUCGGCUCCUACCUGAGUCUCCAGAUACAGGAGCCUCAAACUAGAAAAACAUCAGCUCCUCCCAGGGUCUCCAGCUCCAUGACCCUCAAACUAGAAUAACAUCAGCUCCUUCCCAGGUCUCCAGCUGCACGACCAUCAAACUAGAACAUCAGCUCCUCCCCAAGUCUUCAGCUGCAUGACCCUCAAACUAGAACAUCAGCUCCUCCCAAGGUGUCCAGCUGCAUGACCGUCAAACUAGAACAUCAGCUUGUCCCCGAGUCUUCAGAUGCACAACUCUCAAACUAGAACACCAGCUCCUCUCCGGGUCUCCAGCUGCACGACCCUCACACUAGAAAGACGCCAGCUCCUCCGGGUUCUACAGCUGCAUGACCCUCCAAGUAAAAAAAACACCUGUUCCUCACAGGGUCUACAGCUGAACGAACCUCAGACUAGAAAAACACCAGCUCCUCCCCAGGUCUCAACCUGCAAGACCCUCAAACUAGAACAACAUAAGCUCCUCCCUGGGUUUCCAGCUCAAGGAACCUCAAACUAGAAUAACGCUAGCUUCUCCCUGGGUGUCCAGCUCCACUACACUCUGAUCAGAAAAACAUCAGCUCCUACCUGAGUCUCCAGCUUCAGGACCCUCAAACUAGAACAUCAGCUCCUCUCCGAGUCUCCAGCUGCACGACACUCAGACUAGAAAAACUCCAGCUCCUCCCAAGUUCUACAGCUACAUGACUCUGAAACUAAAAAACACCCUCUCCUGCCUAGGGCUUCAGCUGAACUAACCUCAAACUAGAACACCACCAACUCCUCUCUGGGUAUCCAGCUCCAUGACCCUCAAACAAGAAUAACACCAGCUCCCCCCUUGGUCUCCAGCUCCAUGACCCUUAAAACAGAACAACAUCAUCUCCUCCCCGGGUCUCAAGCUGCAUAACCCCCAAAAUAGAACAUCAGCUCCUUUCCAGGUCUCCAGCUGCAGGACACUUAUACUAGAAAAACACCAGCUCCUCCCGGGUUCUACAGCUGCGUGACCCUCAAACUAAUGAAACACCAGCUCCUCUCUGGGUCUCCAGCUGCACGAACCUCCAACUAGAACAACACCAGCUCCUCUCUGGGUCUCCAGCUCCAUGACCCUCAAACGAGAACAUCAGCUCCUCUCCAGGUGUCCAGCUGGAUGACCCUCAAACUAGAACAUCAGCUCCUCUCCGGGUCUCCAGCUGCACAACACUCAUACUAGAAAAACGCCAGCUCCUCCUGGGUUCUACAGCUGCACAACCCUCUAACUAAAGAAACACCAGCUCCUCUCUGGGUCUCCAGCUGCACGAACCUCAAACUACAACAUCAGCUCCUCUCCAGGUUUCCAGCAGCAGGACACUCAUACUAGAAAAACACCAGCUCCUCCUGGGUUCUACAGCUGCACGACCCUCAAACUAAAGAAACACCAGCUCCUCUCUGGGUCUCCAGCUGCAUGAACCUCAAAUUAGAACAACACCAGCUCCUCUCUGGCUCUCCAGCUCCAUGACCCUCAAACUGGAACAACAUCAGCUCCUCUCCAGGUCUCCAGCUGAGAGACCCUUAAAUGAGAACAACAUCAGUUCCUCCCCGAGUCUUCAGCUGCACGACCCUCAAACUAGAACAUCAGCUCCUCUCUGGGUCUCCAGCUGCAGGGCCCUCAAACUACCACAUCAGCUCCUCCCCGAGUCUGCAGCUGCACGACCCUCAAACUAGAACAUCAGCUCCUCUCUGGGUCUCCAGCUGCAGGGCCCUCAAACUACCACAUCAGCUCCUCCCCGAGUCUGCAGCUGCACGACCCUCAAAUUAGAACAUCAACUCCUUUCCGGUUCUCCAGCUGCAGGACACUCAAAUUAAAAAACGCCAGGUCCUCCAGGUUCUACAGCUGCACAUCCCUCAAACUAAAAAAAACUCCUGCUCCUUCCCAGGUCUCUAGCUGCACGAACCUCAUACUAGAACAGCACCAGCUCCUCUCUGGGUCUCCAGCUGCAAGACCCCCAAACUAGAACAACAUCCACUCCACCCAGGUUCUACGGCUGCACAACUCUCAAACUAAAGAAACACCAGCUCAUCUGCCGGUCUCCAGCUGCAUGAACCUCAAACUAGUACAACAGCUCCUCUCCGGGUCUUCAGCUGCAGGACACUCAUACUAGAAAAACGCCAGCUCCUCCCGGGUUCUACAGCUGCAUGACCCUCAAACUGAAAAACACCCGCUCUUCCCCAGGUCUCCAGCUGCAUGAACCUCAAACUAGAACAACAAGUCAAUACGAGAAAAACGCCAGCUCCUCCCGGGUUCUACAGCUGCAUGAUCCUCAAACUGAAAAACACCUGCUCCUCCCCAGGUCUCCAGCUGCACAAACCUCAAACUAGAACAACACCAGCUGCUCUCUGGGUCUCCAGCUGAAUGACCCUCAAACUAGAACAUCAGCUCCUCCCUGAGUCUUCAGCUGCACGACCCUCAAAAUAGAACACCAGCUCCUCUCCGGGUCUUCAGCUGCAAGACACUCAUACUAGAAAUUCACCAGCUACUCCCAGGGUCUGCAGCUGCACAACCCUCAAACAAAAAACACCAGCUCCUUCCCAGGUCUUCAGCUGCAAGACCCUCAAACUAGAAAAAUACCAGCUCCUCCCCAGGUCUUCGGCUCCAUGACCCUCCAAUUAAAACAACAUCAGCUCCUCCCGGGUCUCCAGUUGCACGACGCUCCAAUUAGAACACCUCUCCCCGCUGGAUCUCCAGCUCCAUGACCCUAACAGAAGAACAGCAACACCAGCUCCUUCAUUGGUCUUCAGCUCCACAACCUAAGACAUCAGUGGCAGCACUGGCUCCUCUGUGGACCUCCAGCUCAACGACUCUCAGACUUAAAAGGCAGCAACGUCUCCUCCCCAGGGCUCCAUCUCCACCACUCUCAGAUUUGAACAGCGGUCGCACCAGCUCCUGUCCGGGUUUUCAGCCCAAUGACCCUCCCUGAACAAUCCCUUCUCAUGAAAUUCAGCAGUCAAGUAAAUGAAUAAAUGUUUUGUUUUCAAAUAAUAAAAAUAAAAAUAAAUAAAACUCAGUGUUAGUAUGAACAUGGAGAUAAAUCAAACUAAAAAUUUUUAAUGAUACAAGUCAUUAUAUUUAGAUAUAUAUCUAGAUAAUAUAUUUAGAUAAUCUAAAUAUAUUUAGAUAAUAUAUAUGGUGCUAUAGGGGAGGAAAAAUACCUCUCUUUUUUCCAUCUUAGGCUACUGGCUGAGGCCACAUAACAAAAG